rnacentral:rRNA from 1 species
AGAGUUUGAUCAUGGCUCAGGAUGAACGCUGGCGGCGUGCUUAACACAUGCAAGUCGGACGGAAAGGCCACAGCUUGCUGUGGUACUCGAGUGGCGAACGGGUGAGUAACACGUGGGUGAUCUGCCCUGUACUUCGGGAUAAGCUUGGGAAACUGGGUCUAAUACCGGAUAUGACCACUUUUUGGAUGGGGUGGUGGAAAGCUUUUGCGGUAUGGGAUGAGCUCGCGGCCUAUCAGCUUGUUGGUGGGGUAAUGGCCUACCAAGGCGUCGACGGGUAGCCGGCCUGAGAGGGUGUACGGCCACAUUGGGACUGAGAUACGGCCCAGACUCCUACGGGAGGCAGCAGUGGGGAAUAUUGCACAAUGGGCGCAAGCCUGAUGCAGCGACGCCGCGUGGGGGAUGACGGCCUUCGGGUUGUAAACUCCUUUCGUCAGGGACGAAGCGUAAGUGACGGUACCUGGAUAAGAAGCACCGGCUAACUACGUGCCAGCAGCCGCGGUAAUACGUAGGGUGCGAGCGUUGUCCGGAAUUACUGGGCGUAAAGAGCUCGUAGGUGGUUUGUCGCGUCGUUUGUGUAAGUCCACGGCUUAACUGUGGGAUGGCAGGCGAUACGGGCAUAACUUGAGUGCUGUAGGGGAGACUGGAAUUCCUGGUGUAGCGGUGAAAUGCGCAGAUAUCAGGAGGAACACCGAUGGCGAAGGCAGGUCUCUGGGCAGUAACUGACGCUGAGGAGCGAAAGCAUGGGUAGCGAACAGGAUUAGAUACCCUGGUAGUCCAUGCCGUAAACGGUGGGCGCUAGGUGUGAGUCCCUUCCACGGGGUUCGUGCCGUAGCUAACGCAUUAAGCGCCCCGCCUGGGGAGUACGGCCGCAAGGCUAAAACUCAAAGGAAUUGACGGGGGCCCGCACAAGCGGCGGAGCAUGUGGAUUAAUUCGAUGCAACGCGAAGAACCUUACCUGGGCUUGACAUACACCAGAUCGGCGCAGAGAUGCGUUUUCCCUUGUGGUAGGUGUACAGGUGGUGCAUGGUUGUCGUCAGCUCGUGUCGUGAGAUGUUGGGUUAAGUCCCGCAACGAGCGCAACCCU